rnacentral:rRNA from 1 species
GACGAACGCUGGCGGCGUGCCUAAUACAUGCAAGUAGAACGCUGAAGGAGGAGCUUGCUCUUCUGGAUGAGUUGCGAACGGGUGAGUAACGCGUAGGUAACCUGCCUGGUAGCGGGGGAUAACUAUUGGAAACGAUAGCUAAUACCGCAUAACAGUAGAUGUUGCAUGACAUUUACUUAAAAGGUGCAAUUGCAUCACUACCAGAUGGACCUGCGUUGUAUUAGCUAGUUGGUGGGGUAACGGCUCACCAAGGCGACGAUACAUAGCCGACCUGAGAGGGUGAUCGGCCACACUGGGACUGAGACACGGCCCAGACUCCUACGGGAGGCAGCAGUAGGGAAUCUUCGGCAAUGGACGGAAGUCUGACCGAGCAACGCCGCGGGAGUGAAGAAGGGUUUCGGAUCGUAAAGCUCUGUUGUAAGAGAAGAACGAGUGUGAGAGUGGAAAGUUCACACUGUGACGGUAUCUUACCAGAAAGGGACGGCUAACUACGUG